rnacentral:rRNA from 1 species
UACGAAGGGGGCGAGCGUUGUUCGGAUUUACUGGGCGUAAAGGGCGCGCAGGCGGCUCGACAAGUCAGAUGUGAAAGCCCCGGGCUUAACCUGGGAAUGGCAUGGGAAACUGGCGGGCUGGAGUGUGGCAGAGGGGGGUGGAAUUCCGGCGUGUAGCAGUGAAAUGCGUAGAGAUGCGGAGGAACACCGAUGGCGAAGGCAGCCCCCUGGGCUAACACGUGACGCUCGAGGCACGAAAGCGUGGGGAGCA